rnacentral:rRNA from 1 species
UACAGAGGUCUCAAGCGUUGUCCGGAAUCAUUGGGCGUAAAGCGCGCGUAGGCGGCCCGGUAAGUCCGCUGUGAAAGUCCAGGGCUCAACCCUGGAAAGCCGGUGGAUACUGCCGGGCUAGAGUCCGGAAGAGGCGAGUGGAAUUCCUGGUGUAGCGGUGGAAUGCGCAGAUAUCAGGAGGAACACCAAUAGCGAAGGCAGCUCGCUGGGACGGUACUGACGCUGAGGUGCGAAAGCGUGGGGAGCAAACAGG